rnacentral:lncRNA from 1 species
CAAUGGGCCUCUCUUUCCAGUGAUGGCCGACUAGGCCAUCUUUUGAUACAUAUGCAGAUAUCAGAUUUUUAAUGACGAGAAACCCACUUUCUUCAUAAAAUUUUCUCUGCUCCAGGCCCAAAGUAUACAAUUACACAUCACUGUUCAUUAUGGAAGGAUCUCAGAGAAGAAACUCAAACAGGGCAGGAACCUGGAGGCAAGAGCUGAUGCAGAGGCCAUGGAAGAAGGGUGCUGCUUACUAGCUUGCUGGUUAUCUAUCAGGAUAAUUCACUGGCCCGGAAGACAGUGGGGCCUAACAAAUCAGCCCACAGAGUCCAGACAUAAAAGGAUUGCAACAGUGCUUCAAGGGUCUUUCAAUCAAUUAUUAUGGCCUCCAGAGAGACAUCAAGUUCUACUAAGAAGCUAUCAACGUGAUGGAGCAGAGAAGGCCUCUCUCCUAACACUGUCCGAUGACCCAGGUGGCCUCUCUACUCCACAUACUUCACACAGGAGCUGUUUGUUAGCUCUUUGAGCACUCAGCAGCGUGCAAGGCCACAGCAGUUGGAGGAGUGAGGGCUCGUGCCUUCCCCAGUUUUCGGACUUCUCUUUUCUAUUCUUUUCUGAUUUUUUAAAAAAAUUGUUUUAAUUUUUUCUCUUUUUGAUUCAGUAAUAGAAGUUGUGGGGGGAAAUAGCAUUUGACAGCAUCGAACAACACUAAAUGAAAAACGAGAUUCCCUUCAACUACUCUAUCUGAGACUUUUCAAAGGUCCACCCUCCCACCACCCCAGGAAUGCUCUACACAUAUUUAUACUCAUUGUAUUUUCAGUCUUUCUGAAAUGGUAGUGUAUUAGACAUAUUUUCUGUACCACACAUUUAUUUUCUUUUUAAAGGCUGUUUACUGUUAAAACAGCUCUGCUUCUUCUUUUUUUAAAUGCUGUUUAAUAUCAGCUAGAAUAUGACUCUACCUAAUGAACAUUUGGUUGGUUCCCAUUUU